rnacentral:rRNA from 1 species
AGAGUUUGAUCCUGGCUCAGGACGAACGCUGGCGGCACGCUUAACACAUGCAAGUCGAACGAGAGAAGAGAAGCUUGCUUUUCUGAUCUAGUGGCGGACGGGUGAGUAACACGUGAGCAAUCUGCCUUUCAGAGGGGGAUACCGAUUGGAAACGAUCGUUAAUACCGCAUAACAUAAUUGAACCGCAUGAUUUGAUUAUCAAAGAUUUAUCGCUGAAAGAUGAGCUCGCGUCUGAUUAGCUAGUUGGUAAGGUAACGGCUUACCAAGGCGACGAUCAGUAGCCGGACUGAGAGGUUGAUCGGCCACAUUGGGACUGAGACACGGCCCAGACUCCUACGGGAGGCAGCAGUGGGGAAUAUUGCACAAUGGAGGAAACUCUGAUGCAGCGAUGCCGCGUGAGGGAAGAAGGUUUUAGGAUUGUAAACCUCUGUCUUCAGGGACGAAAAAAGACGGUACCUGAGGAGGAAGCUCCGGCUAACUACGUGCCAGCAGCCGCGGUAAUACGUAGGGAGCGAGCGUUGUCCGGAAUUACUGGGUGUAAAGGGAGCGUAGGCGGGAUCGCAAGUCAGAUGUGAAAACUAUGGGCUUAACCCAUAAACUGCAUUUGAAACUGUGGUUCUUGAGUGAAGUAGAGGUAAGCGGAAUUCCUAGUGUAGCGGUGAAAUGCGUAGAUAUUAGGAGGAACACCAGUGGCGAAGGCGGCUUGCUGGGCUGUUACUGACGCUGAGGCUCGAAAGCGUGGGGAGCAAACAGGAUUAGAUACCCUGGUAGUCCACGCCGUAAACGAUGAUUACUAGGUGUGGGGGGACUGACCCCUUCCGUGCCGCAGCAAACGCAAUAAGUAAUCCACCUGGGGAGUACGACCGCAAGGUUGAAACUCAAAGGAAU